UACGUAGGGGGCAAGCGUUGUCCGGAUUUAUUGGGCGUAAAGAGCGUGUAGGCGGCCAUACAGGUCCGUUGUGAAAACUCGAGGCUCAACCUCGAGACGUCGAUGGAAACCGUAUGGCUAGAGUCCGGAAGAGGAGAGUGGAAAUUCCUGGUGUAGCGGUGAAAUGCGCAGAUAUCAGGAAGAACACCCGUGGCGAAGGCGGCUCUCUGGGACGGUACUGACGCUGAGACGCGAAAGCGUGGGGAGCGAACAGG
rnacentral:rRNA from 1 species